UAUGAAUUAAGUAUAACGUAUAUAUCACUUACAAUGAUAAGGACUAUUUGAAUAGAAUUCAUUUAAAUUAUUAAAUA
rnacentral:tRNA from 1 species